rnacentral:misc_RNA from 1 species
UUACAUUGCUUGUUCAUCUGACGAUACAAAUUGGAGUCUGCACUCCGGCGAGCCCGCGUCAGAACAUCUUCCAACGGCUGUUUCCAACGUCUCGCCGAAGCAACGUCGAGUUGCCAAGGGUGGGAGUUCCUAUGCAGGAAGACUCGGUAAUGAUCCUUCCGCAGGUUCACUGGAAAUGUUAGCAGGAGUUGCAGAUUUCAAAGUUGGUAGCAACUCACCCUACGGAAA